rnacentral:rRNA from 1 species
GGCGCCUCCAGCGCGCCUCGGUUCGCCCGGCCCGAGAGGGUCGGGGAAUCGCCGAACGGACGUCGUGCUGGGGACUGGGGAUUGGAACUGUUCCCCUCGAACGAGGAAUACCAAGUAAGCGCGAGUCACCAUCUCGCUCUGAUUACGUCCCUGCCCUUUGUACACACCGCCCGUCGCUACUACCGAUCGAACGUCGAGGUGAGGCCGUCGGACCGGAACCUCGCCGUGCCCCGCGCGGCGGCCCGUUUUCCGCGGGCCCCGCGCGGCCGGCGCGGAUUCGGAAAGUCGUCCGAACCCCGGCGCUUAGAGGAAGUAAAAGUCGUAACAAGGUAUCC